ensembl:lncRNA
CAGAGCACAGAAGAAAACCCAAGCCAAAGAACCUGUUAGCAUCAAAUCCACUAAUGGCACAACAGAGCAUGUCAGGCUCAACUCCACAUGCAUGCUGGUCAGUGUUCACUGCGACAUGCAGAAGUGGACAGGCCAUCAUUCCCAAGACUCUCCUUGCUCAUCUCAUGGAGGAAGGCAAAAUGAUCAGAGUCCAUCAGCUGCUGUAUAGCACGGAAAGCAGACCUCAGCAGGAAGACAUCCACAAGUAUGAACCAUAGAAGGAGACAGACAUCUCCGUCCAGGCACAAGGCACUGUAAGGAAACAUUCCUUGUCAUAAACUAUCAUCAGGUCCAUUCACAAAGGAGAUGUGCCUCUGAAGAGCUUAUCAGUUGAAGUUCUGGGAUGCCCAAAAAGUAUGACUCAAUCAACAUGGAUUUUUGUAUAUCAGUUGAUACAAGGCAUUAAUUUUCCCUCAAGAUGAAAAAGCACGCCUCAUCCCAAACCUGGCUGAAGUAGGAAGAUGAUCUGUGCAGUGGAGCAUCUCCUGCCUGGUGGGAAGGGACAGACAUUCUCUGUACUCAAAACAUCCUCAUACACAAGGAUGAACUUUUGACUUCAACUGCUGCUAGGGCUGAAGAACUUGAUGCUUCUUUGUCUUGUAUCUAUGUAAAACAAUCCCCUUAUACUGUUAUGCCCAUGUGAAGGUGGCAGCUAAGGCUCAGCCUCCUGUCACAGUCCAUAUCAUUUCAGAUUUAGCCUGACAUCAUCAAAGCUCACUCUGAACUGCCAACUUCUCUCCUUGUUUUCAUCAAUUUUAUGCUAUUUUUUUUAAAUAUAUCCAUGUGUGGCAACUCAGAUGGCAUGCCUUUCCUAGCUGUCUUUUCCCCCUCCAUUGUCACUAUUUAAUUUAUGUAUACAGAGAUUCCUAGAUCAAAUACAGAUCACUCAACAUCCUGACAUUCUCAAGAGCUGACUACAAACUCUGAUUAUCACAGAAGAUUUCUCCUAAAACAAGUAUGAGACAAACAGAGCCUAUUUUCUCUUCUCAGCAAGUCAUCAGCCAGUAUAAUCCUGACACGUGGAACUUCCACAUGUUCAGCCACUGAAUUAUGCUGUGGCAUAAGAAGACAGUGAGUCACUGCUCAGAGCUGGAAGUUGCUGCAGGUGUGCUGCACUAGCAGGAAAAGCUGAAGACAUAUCUAGAAGAAUUGUAUGUAACCGAAAAUUAUGCUUAGCUGUGAUAGAAAGUAAUGGUGAAGCAUGAAAUUCAGCAUACUAGUAAAAUGCAGAGUGGUGAAUUGUUCUCACUCCCCAGCAAUGUUUUUGGGGAGCUCAAAAAGUUUCAGAGGGCAAGGUAUCCCAAUAGCAAUGCUCUAGAAGUACAGAACUAGUGAAAACUGUUCUAUCAACGAGCAAUAGUGGUUGGAGAGUGAAACGGUUUCUUGUAUCCUGUCAGCUAAUGUUAAGGUAGAGUAGAAUUCAAGUAGGCUCUCACAACAUCUGGUUAGUUACAAAAUUUUACUAAGCAAAAGGAAAACAUACCAGUAACAAGUCUCCCAGAGAUGGCAUAAGGGAAAAAAAUAAAGCUACAAAGAAAGGGCACUGAAAGAAGACAUAAGCAGAGUAGCUUGGGAAAGGGAAGGAAUAGAACUCCUGAAAAAAAUUCCAUGAUGAAGGAUCAAGAAGAAAAGGCCAUCUACUUGGUGCCUGUGCUGAAGAACGUUAUGUUGUCCAGGAAGAAAGCAGAGAAGAGGGAAAAAAAAGAAAUAAAUCAAUAUGAAGUUCUUUCAGGAAUGCAAUGAACACAGGGGGUGCCUCUGUUUGGCAGCCCCAGGACACUUGCAGCCCUGGCUCAGAUUGUGUGGAUAUGUUUUUGACUUGUCCCGGUCAGCAGAUUAAUGGCAUUAACGAAGUUUCCAUUAGCAUCGGAGAUUGGGGAGGAGGGUGAAGAGACAGAGGCGUCCAAGCGGAAAGCCACAUGACUGCAGAAUUGAUAAGGCUAAAGAUGAAACGGAGCUUCAUUGGCAGAAGAGAGGCCAGGAAAUGCCACUACAAAUUAGCCCCAGGCCUCAUUUCUUUUCCCUUCAUUAUCCAAACCCCUUCAGGAGAAGAAUGGAGGAGGUUAUGACCCUCUCCCAACACACACACACAGAUAUUGAGUGAGUCUCUCUCAAUGAACAUAGACGUGGGUAGAUCUGUGUGUGUCUAAGGGUCCGUGUGUGUGGUAUAUUUGUGUCUAAGCACAUUUGUAUUCAUAUAGUAAGUAAAAAAAACAACAGUACUUCUAUCAGGAGAUAUCUACAACUUUGAAAGGGCUCAUGUUCUCAUAUCUAUGAUUUCUGCUGCAAAUCUGUGUAAUUUCUUUCACUAUUAGUUAGCCUUCUCUUAAAAUAAACACCACUGAAAGCAAUAUUCAAUAGAAUUUCCAGCAUCCAAACAUGCUGUGUGUACCCACAGUAACGUAUAGAUGACAGGGAGUUACUAGGAAUACACAGGUUUAUCUUCACAGGAUUGUGCACGAGCAUUUAUCUGCAACCAUGCAUACGGAUGUCCAGAUUUCAGGCACACGCACCAGUGUCUGUGUGACUAAACAUGCACACCUGCAAAUUCUGAUCUCCGAAGAGAAGCAUGCAAGCACAAGUGUACAUGUGCAUAUUUCCACACGUAUGUUUUCCAGAGGAUUUAUCUUUGUAUCUGCUUCUGAAGCUCUAUGCAUAGGCAUCCUCCAGGGGUACCUACACUCUUCCACUCCUUUUUUUCCUGUUAUGUGCACAUCCACGUGCAAUUCUGUGUUUCACUGACUACUGUUUACUUGUCUCUGUGUCCUGGCUAUGCUUCAUCUGAGCAUGACAGUCUCUUUCAGAAGUCUGUACACUCCAAAUAAGUUCUGGUCUAUGCAUGCAUAUCUUUCUGUGUAUGCACCUUCAGAUAUAUGUGCAUCUGAACACGUGUGUCUGGAGCAGUAAAGACUUCUCUGUAAGUUGCACAUAAAAAAAUUCUAUGUAAAAUUACAUUUUGCUGCCUGUUCCAGUGCAACUUUUUUAAAUAUACAUUCAUUCUUGAGUGUAUCAAAAUAAAUGCAUUGCUAUUGACUAGUUACUGCACCUGAAAGUUAACAAAUACAGGUAAAUACAA